ACGAUCCGUAGCGGUGUGAGAGGAUGAUCAACCACAUCGGGGACUGAGACACGGCCCCGACUCCUACGGGAGGCAGCAGUGGGAAUAUGGGACAAUGGGGGCAACCCUGAUCCAGCCAUGCCGCGUGUGUGAAGAAGGCCCUCGGGUUGUAAAGCACUUUCAGCGAGGAAGAACGCCUAGCGGUUAAUACCCGCUAGGAAAGACAUCACUCGCAGAAGAAGCACCGGCUAACUCCGUGCCAGCAGCCGCGGUAAUACGGAGGGUGCAAGCGUUAAUCGGAAUUACUGGGAGUAAAGCGCGCGUAGGUGGCUUGAUAAGCCGGUUGUGAAAGCCCCGGGCUCAACCUGGGAACGGCAUCCGGAACUGUCAAGCUAGAGUGCAGGAGAGGAAGGUAGAAUUCCCGGUGUAGCGGUGAAAUGAGUAGAGAUCGGGAGGAAUACCAGU
rnacentral:rRNA from 1 species